rnacentral:misc_RNA from 1 species
GUCCGGGGUGCCGAGGCGGUCCGUCCCUCGGGAGUUCAGCGGGCCCCUAGCGGGGACCGUGCACUCUCCCGUGGGACUCGGUGACCGUCAGCUUGUGCGAGGCCCGUCUUCGAGCGUCCGACGGGGAGGUGCCGUCUCUGCCCCUCGGGGAGAGACGGACGUACAGCCCGACGGCGGCGUCGACGUGGCUCUCGCUCGGGAGUGAAGCGGGACUUCGUUCCGCGUGGUGACAGGUGCGGUGCCUCCUCCGGGAGGCAGCGGGCUCCGGCCGCGGUUCUCCUCUCGGGCUUCGGACUUUCCGUCGGGUGGUCGCGUCCUCGCGGCGCGUCCGUCCUUCGGUUCCGGRGUUCGAGAGUGUUCCGCGGUCGUCGGUCUCGUCGG